rnacentral:lncRNA from 1 species
CUCAGGCGGAGAGGAUCACUUUUCAAAGAUUGUAAAAGAAGUUACGUGGAUAGUGUGUGUUAUGCAGCAAGAAUUACUGUAUGAGAUGAAUGAGAAUUAUACUGGUGAACUUCAUCCCUUUUUAAUAGGAAAGGAAUGGAAAAUCAGAAGACGUGUUUAGAUCACACAAACCAGAGGUGAAAGCUGAAUCUGAGAGGCUUCUGUUUCCAGCAAUAAGGCCAAUAAUACCCCAAGCUCCUGACUGAAACCAAACACUCUGGAGGGACACUCUCACAUGCAGGCCAGAAGGAAUUUGAAUAGAAGGAAACAGGCUAAAGAAGAGAGCUCAUGGCAAAAAUUACAAACCAUACAAGGAAGGCAUUCACCACAGUGAGACUCUGUUGUUUGGUGAAUACUCAUUUAGGAUUGUUAAAUCUUCUUGGAGGAUUGACCUUUUUAUCAUUAGGUUGCUGAAGAAGAAUCUUACUCUAGGGCUCACUAGCAACUUUGGACUGGUGAUGUAUAAGACAUUAUAUAUUUCUGGGGUUUUUUUUUUGCUUUUUUUAUUUACAAAAGGUGAAUUUAGUUGUUUCUCUCUCAUUCCCUUAGUUCAAAAAUGAUUAGCCCCAGAUAUUGCCCUAUUCUUUUCCAAAUUCUGGUUAUACAUCAAAAUAAACAACCAAACAAAAACAUAGGGUUAGGGGAGAUUGGAUGAAAGAAAGAAGAAGAUGAAAGAAAGAAGAAAAAAACAUUCAAAGGCAAUGUUUUUCUUAACUGCUGUUCCCUUCAGUAAGAUAUAUAUUUCAGGCUGUGUCCACAGCACACACAUAUUUAACUAAAACAAACAUUUGACAAAGCAAUAGUUAUCCUUACAGAGGGAUAUGACACUUUUAUAUUUCCUGUUCUAGUCUAUCCUUUUUAAUGGUGCUUUUGACACACUAAUUAAGUCCAUAAACCACGAAGGGAUACCACCAAUGGUUUGAAAAUGAUAUCUUAAGGAGAUGCAAAAAUGUGAAAAGAGGGAGUUUCGUUUCAUAUGUAAUACGUACUAACUGACCUAGACUUUGUGAAAGUGGUAAAAAAAAUCACAGUGUGAUUUCAUUUCUAUAAAGAAUGCACAUCCAUAUAGACUCCUUCAGGCUGGGUAGGAGGCAGUGCUGGGUUGUGCUUUCUUCUUUUUCUUUCUUUUUUUUUUUUUUUUUUUUUUUUUUGAGACGGAGUCUCACUGUGUCGCCCAAGCUGGAGUGCAGUGGUGCGAUCUCGGCUCACUGCAACCUCCGCCUCCCGGGUUCACGCCAUUCUCCUGCUUCAGCCUCCCCAGUAGCUGGGACUAAG